UGCUGUUGUCCUUCAUCUGUCACAAGCCCUUCCUUCUCUUCGUGUCUGGUUCACUACUGUAUCCCCAAUGGCUGGCACUUAGCAGACACUCACCAAAGAUGGCUUGACGGAAUCAAUAGUAUUAACUUGACGGAGGAUACGGUUGAGAGGAGGGGAAACUGCUCCUUGUCAUCCAGAGGAGGGCGGUAGUAAGUCCAACGCAGAGCUUGCGGAGGGGGGCGACUCGAUCAGCUUUUCAGCAGGUAGGGCUGCUGGGCAUUGGAGUGAGUGCCUUCUUUGUGGUGCAUAGUCAGGCAGUGGCUUGGUGUCGUUGAAGGAUUCUGGCGUCGGAUGUCAGGGUUGACCAGGUCAGUUCCAAGGCCGCCUCCAACCCUUAGGUCCAUGUUUGAUGUUCGCAUCACUAGUCUGUGGUUGUUGGACUGCAGAUACGGCCUUUACCACUAGAUGGCACUAGGUGAUUCCUUUGAGGCCGGGGCUCCUCAAAUCCGCCAACAGUGAGAACAGCAUCUUCUCUCUUUUUUUACUUAUUGAAGUAUAGUCGACAUACAAUGUGACAUUAAUUUCAGGCGUGCAACAGAGUGAUUUGACAAAUCUACAUAUCACUCAGCACUCAUCACGGUUAGGUGUCGUCACAUCUGUCACCGUACUGUUAUAACAGUAUUAUCGACUGGAUUCCCUAUAUUCCACUUUUCGUCUUUGUGCGUUACUUAUAUGACUGGAAGUUUGUACCUCUUAAGCCCUCUUUGCCUAUUCUGUCCAUCCCCCCGCCCCCUCUGGCAACCGCCACCUUGUUCUCUGUGUUUCAGAGUCGAUUUUGGUUGUUCGGAGAACAGACUUUUCAUUGCAUUUUACCCCGAACACCCACCUCAACAAAAGCUUCACAAAACCGUCUUAACUCUUACAGUGUGGAAUGCAUACUGAUAUUGUCUAUUUCACUCUAUUCGACUGCAUUUUCACAGAUGGAGACUUGCAAACUACUACACUGAUUUUAUUAUACGGAUGGGUCCUAAUUCAUCGUUUGAAAAGCACCGUUUUAGACAGCUGAGCCUGUUCACCCUUGGAAAACUUGGACAGUCUGGGCCCGUAGCGAAUCGCAUCCCUUAAUGAGUACUUUGUGCAUUUCCGUGCUGACUUGCUGCCUCGAGAAGCCAAAAGUUUGCAGUGAGCCUUGGCUACUGGCAUGACCCUUACAUCCAGCAUUUGGUAAGACUGUCUAAGGAGAG